AACGGUCUGCUGUGUUCGGGGUUCGAAUUAUCUUAAUCCACAUUUGUUACAAGGGAGCGCUUUAUUUAAGUCUGUGCCGAUAGGCAAGGUCUGUUUAUGAACGGAAAGUCUGAGGCGGUACGGCGGCGCACCCACCUGCGAGAAGCGGGUUAACACUUUUUCGUUCUGCGGCACGAGCGGAUCUUUU
rnacentral:other from 1 species